AUUAACCCGGGGAAAAUUUAAAACCCCAGGCCAACCUCGGUUAAUGCACGUGAGUGCCUGUCCGGAACCUUAAGGAAAUUUGGGACUGUGAAAGCCCNCGGCUCAACCGUGGAGGGNCAUUGGAAACUGNAAAACUUGAGUGCANAANAGGAAAGUGGAAUUCCAUGUGUAGCGGUNAAAUGCGCANAGAUAUGGANGAACACCAGUGGCGAAGGNNACUUUCUGGGUUAGGGAAGAACAAGUGCGAGAGUAACUGCUCGCACCUUGACGGUACCUAACCAGAAAGCCACGGCUAACUACGUGCCAGCAGCCGCGGUAAUACGUAGGUGGCAAGCGUUCUGAUGUCAGCGGCGGACGGGUGAGUAACACGUGGGNAACCUGCCUGUAAGACUGGUAUAACUNCNGNAAACCGGGUAAUCAUGCUUGUUUGGCUGUGACCCGAGUGCGUUUAGGGUUUAAACCCCUAGGAACCACGAGCAGUACUGGGAGUCACCAAGGCAACGUUAUCGACGAAAGUCUGACGGAGCAACGCCGCGUGAGUGAUGAAGGUUUUCGGAUCGUAAAGCUCUGUUGUUAGGGAAGAACAAGUCAACCUUACCAAUCUUGACAUCCUUUUUUUCGGAUCGUAAAGCUCUGUUGUUAGGGAAGAACAAGUGCGAGAGUAACUGCUCGCACCUUGACGGUACCUAACCAGAAAGCCACGCGGACGGGUGAGUAACACGUGGGNAACCUGCCUGUACCACGAAAAGCUGCAAGUCGAGCGAACUGAUUAGAAGCUUGCUUCUGGAUUGACGGGNACCCGCACGGUGGACAUGUGGUUAAUCNAAGCAACCAACCUUACCAAUCUUGACAUCCUUU
rnacentral:rRNA from 1 species